UACGAGAGGCCCAAACGUUAUUCGGAUUUACUGGGCUUAAAGAGUUCGUAGGCGGCGCGGAAAGUAGGGUGUGAAAGCCCUCGGCUCAACCGAGGAAUUGCGCCCUAAACUGUCGCGCUCGAGGAACCUAGAGGUGAGCAGAACUGAUGGUGGAGCGGUGAAAUGCGUAGAUCUUGGAAAGACCACCAAUGGCGAAGGCACUCUACUGGGCCAUUACUGACACUGAGAGACGAAAGCUAGGGGAGCAAAUGGG
rnacentral:rRNA from 1 species